rnacentral:lncRNA from 1 species
UGGUCUAAACAAAAGUACAGUCAAUAACAAAAUAGAAAAAUCUAUAUACCGUGUGUGCAAAUGGAGUAAGGAGGAUAGUUUUGAAUGGAGCUCAUCCAGUUUAUUCUCCAGUGAUUACACAUUUGCUAGUAGAACGGAGGGUUAUCCACUUGUCAGUUAUCCCGCUCGCCGGCCUCUUCCAACAAAUGAAGGGGAUCUGGGACUGGUCCGGGAAGAGCAUUAUGUCCUUCACAUCUGACUCAUUGAAGAAUAAAUCCUCAACCAGAUCAAGAACUCAGGUGACACCGACAGCUGAGCUUCAGUUUCAAGCCUGCAGAAGACACUGGUGUUGUCUGGCAGCCCCAUGCCCAGGAUGAUGGUGUGUCGUAUGGCUAUGCCGAGGUCUAUGGGCAGUGUUAAAAAAAAAGUGACUCAAAUAUUUGUAAAAAAAUAAAAUUCUGGGGCAGUUGACAAGACUAUAACUGACUAAAUAGACCCAGAAAAACCCUUAACAGAACUUGUUUUUCAUUUCAGUGUUCUAAAACUGGAGGAGACUAAAUUAUCUCAGUGACUAAAAUCUGACUACUGAGUGGACUGGACAAGAGUUUUUAGAGAGAUUGAGAGCUUUUCAAUUAUAAGCACAGUUAAUAUUAGCAGCACAGAUGAGCAACACAGUUCUGUUCAGCAGUGGGAAGGACACGACACACCCGCCACACACAACCUAGCCUACAUCAGCUGGUGAGCUGCAAGGGAGCAAGCGAUGAGAAUAAGCAGACAGGCUCCACCUCUGAUUAUACACAUCGAGAAGGCGACUCUCUUGCUUUCCAGUGGCUAACGAGUCACCAGCUGCCUGGUUAAGAAACACAAGCUGCUUUACAAAAUUAAAAACAAUAGCCGCAUUAAGUGUAAUAGUAAAACAACAGUGUAGUUAUUUUUCUCUCCUUGAGUGUAGAAACGUUUUUGAAUUUGUAGUCUAUCAACCCUCACACAUUCCUCACCGCUUUCAUAGCCAGGUUCUGUAGCUAACGAGCUAACCAAGUAUUCUAUACAUGCCUAUCUGACAUGUUGAAUAAGGAAUAAUGUUGGCUCUAUUCAUGGCAUUUCUAUCUGAAACAUUCAAGAAUGUUUUGCCACUGAGCGUUGCCCUGGUAACAUUAGAAGUUAAAAAAAUAUAUACAAAAAAUAAAUAACAAAAACAUGAGAAGUAGCCUAUAUUGCAAACAUUUUGUGGCACAGCAAGAUAGUAAAAUGGAUAGCAAACAGUUUGACUAAAUCUCUCUUGCCACUACAGUAUAUCUUUAUUUCGAGUUAAUGUGGACCCAGUGACCGAGACUUGAGCAUGGGGACUUCAUUCAUAGGGACUCGUAACUCAACUCGUGACUCGACCAUUGGUGACUCCGACUUGGACUCGAGCACAGGGGACUUGGGACUGGAUACAGAUUUGAGGUUUAGUGACUCGACUACAUCACUGGGCAAAACAGUCAUUAGCUCCCGUUCAAAGUCAUUAGCUCCCAUUUGACUUUUGGACAUCAAUGUGGCUGUGGCGUUUGUGGAACGUUGAAAACAAUGGCAAUGACGUGACCGAGUGAUGCAACGAAUACUAUUUUGCGACACCAGCUGGCGUGUCUGUUUGUAUUGUAAAUGUAUUGUGCAAUAUCUGCGUAGGCUGAAUUAGGAAUUUAUAUGGCCAAAUAAUGGUUAUAUAUUCAUAUGUUUGUCAUAUUUCUUCUGUUGGGAAGAGAAUAGGAUGUUCUGCAAAAAAAUAUGUUGGAAGGACAAGGAUUUGUAUGUUUGUGCACAUGGAAGUCAGUGAUAUGUUUACUAUAGGUUAAUGAGGCAAUACAAAUGCGAUGUGACUAAAAUGAAAGGACAUUUGGUUGACUAAAAUGGCUCACCGUUUUCAUUCUUUUGACAGUAACUAUACAAAGGUAUUAUUCAAAUGUUAAAAACGUGACUAAGAC